GAAGGUGGCCUGUGAGGGUUGCUGGAGGUAUCAGAAGUGCGAAUGCUGACAUAAGUAACGAUAAAGCGGGUGAAAAGCCCGCUCGCCGGAAGACCAAGGGUUCCUGUCCAACGUUAAUCGGGGCAGGGUGAGUCGACCCCUAAGGCGAGGCCGAAAGGCGUAGUCGAUGGGAAACGGGUUAAUAUUCCCGUACUUGGUGUUACUGCGAAGGGGGGACGGAGAAGGCUAUGUUGGCCGGGCGACGGUUGUCCCGGUUUAAGCGUGUAGGUGUGUGUUCCAGGUAAAUCCGGUUCACUUUAACACUGAGGCGUGACGACGAGGCACUACGGUGCUGAAGCAACAAAUGCCCUGCUUCCAGGAAAAGCCUCUAAGCAUCAGGUAACAUCAAAUCGUACCCCAAACCGACACAGGUGGUCAGGUAGAGAAUACCAAGGCGCUUGAGAGAACUCGGGUGAAGGAACUAGGCAAAAUGGUGCCGUAACUUCGGGAGAAGGCACGCUGACACGUAGGUGAAGUGAUUUACUCAUGGAGCUGAAGUCAGUCGAAGAUACCAGCUGGCUGCAACUGUUUAUUAAAAACACAGCACUGUGCAAACACGAAAGUGGACGUAUACGGUGUGACGCCUGCCCGGUGCCGGAAGGUUAAUUGAUGGGGUCAGCGCAAGCGAAGCUCCUGAUCGAAGCCCCGGUAAACGGCGGCCGUAACUAUAACGGUCCUAAGGUAGCGAAAUUCCUUGUCGGGUAAGUUCCGACCUGCACGAAUGGCGUAAUGAUGGCCAGGCUGUCUCCACCCGAGACUCAGUGAAAUUGAACUCGCUGUGAAGAUGCAGUGUACCCGCGGCAAGACGGAAAGACCCCGUGAACCUUUACUAUAGCUUGACACUGAACAUUGAGCCUUGAUGUGUAGGAUAGGUGGGAGGCUUUGAAGUGUGGACGCCAGUCUGCAUGGAGCCGACCUUGAAAUACCACCCUUUAAUGUUUGAUGUUCUAACGUGGACCCGUUACCCGGGUUGCGGACAGUGUCUGGUGGGUAGUUUGACUGGGGCGGUCUCCUCCUAAAGAGUAACGGAGGAGCACGAAGGUUGGCUAAUCCUGGUCGGACAUCAGGAGGUUAGUGCAAUGGCAUAAGCCAGCUUGACUGCGAGCGUGACGGCGCGAGCAGGUGCGAAAGCAGGUCAUAGUGAUCCGGUGGUUCUGAAUGGAAGGGCCAUCGCUCAACGGAUAAAAGGUACUCCGGGGAUAACAGGCUGAUACCGCCCAAGAGUUCAUAUCGACGGCGGUGUUUGGCACCUCGAUGUCGGCUCAUCACAUCCUGGGGCUGAAGUAGGUCCCAAGGGUAUGGCUGUUCGCCAUUUAAAGUGGUACGCGAGCUGGGUUUAGAACGUCGUGAGACAGUUCGGUCCCUAUCUGCCGUGGGCGCUGGAGAACUGAGGGGGGCUGCUCCUAGUACGAGAGGACCGGAGUGGACGCAUCACUGGUGUUCGGGUUGUCAUGCCAAUGGCACUGCCCGGUAGCUAAAUGCGGAAGAGAUAAGUGCUGAAAGCAUCUAAGCACGAAACUUGCCCCGAGAUGAGUUCUCCCUGAGACUUUAGGUCUCCUGAAGGAACGUUGAAGACGACGACGUUGAUAGGCCGGGUGUGUAAGCGCAGCGAUGCGUUGAGCUAACCGGUACUAAUGAACCGUGAGGCUUAACCUUACAACGCCG
rnacentral:rRNA from 1 species